rnacentral:rRNA from 1 species
UACAGAGGAUGCAAGCGUUAUCCGGAAUGAUUGGGCGUAAGCGUCUGUAGGUGGCUUUUAAGUCCGCCGUCAAAUCCCAGGGCUCAACUCUGGACAGGCGGUGGAAACUACCGAAGCUGGAGUACGGUAGGGGCAGAGGGAAUUUCCGGUGGAGCGGUGAAAUGCGUAGAGAUCGGAAAGAACACCAACGGCGAAAGCACUCUGCUGGGCCGACACUGACACUGAGAGACGAAAGCUAGGGGAGCGAAUGGG